UGCCCGGGGAGCAGUUGGGGGUUUGGUGCCUUGCUCAGGGGCACCUCAGUCGUGGUAUUCCUGGCCCGAGACCCAGACCCACAACCUUAGGGUUAGGAGUCAAACUCUCUAACCACUAGGCCUCAACUUCCCCUGACAAUUGAGGAUGGAAGAGAGUGCUGUUCAUUCACUCCCUCCCACCUACAACUCCUGCCAGCCCCGAGACUCGAACCGGCAACCUUCUGGUAACUAGUCCAACUCACCUCACUUGUGUAAUUCUGAAUAUUUUUUAAUUUACAGAAUAAUAAAUUUUAUUCUGAUAAACCAUCUGAGUGCAAAUUGGUCAUGCCUCAUAUGAUAGGCUUUUACAUGAUAUGAUAUUAUAUCUUAUAUUGUAGAAUGGUAUAUCCUGUUAUUUAUAUAUAUAUAUUUUUUUACUGACUUCAAAAAAAUGUUUUACAUUUACUGCUUUCAUAUUCUCAUUCAAUUUACAGUUUGAUUUAGGUCUACUGUCUACUUGAACAAUACAUGAUGGGGUUUCAGGACGUUUUAUUUUACUUUUAUGUACUAUUUGUGUAAAUGCCUUACUUUAAUGUGGUUUAACGGGCGCACGCGUUGAGAAUUCAAAUCGCAUUUAAACUGUAGCGGAAGUAGUUACCAUGGAAAAGGGGCCCCAACUUACUCAACUGACAAGUAGUGAGAGUCUCUCCACUGUUUCCUCUUUCUCUUUUCUGCAUUUCACCUCUGUUGUAGUUUACAACAGAUGUGAAAUGUAGAAGAGUUUAAUUUCUAAUAAACCUAAUAUUGUAAACUACAUAUUGUUGGCUAUAAUGUGACACAUUGCUCCUAUAUUCUUCUGCUGAUGGCCAUGUUGCGGAGCAGGAGCCGAUCUCCUGUUGAAGAACAUCUCCUAGGCGCUAUGAACCAACUCACUAUACAUAUGGUGCGAAGAAUUACAGUCAUGAUUGCACAACACCAUUCACAGGAGAGUCAGUACUCACCUUACCCGACUAAUAACCUUCACCCAGUUUAUGGAUUGCAAACCUUUCCGAUUGGACCUACUCUGGGACAACAAUAUGCCCCCAGCAUCCACAUAAGAUCUGCGGGUCUGUUAGGACCAACACAGACCACAGGGUGAGCACCCCCUGCAAGCCUCACUAUCACCUCUUCCAGCAGAAACCUAGUUUUCCAGGAGGUCUCCCAUCCAGUGUUUGCCUGACGUUGAUGACGGAAAAGAGGGGGAAAAUCUAAAACUGGUUCAUUAGACGCCCACGAGCUGAUCUGGUAACACUGUGAGCAUCAAGAGAAGUUAGUUGAAGAGGAAGAGCAGCACGAUGGCGUUCACCUCAGCGGUUCUCAUGUUCCUGUCUGCGGGUUUAUUCACGGUAACAGACGGAGCUGACUGUGAGAGCUAUUACACCAGCAAGAACAAGUACAGACCUUCGUUUAACUGCGGGUUUCUGCAGCACUGCUGUGGAACCUGCAAUGACAGAUUCUGCUGCCCCCUUGAUAUUUUGAGGUUAUCCAAGCGUGAUCAAAAUAUGUGCAAUAUGUAAGGAUUUUUAAGCCU